rnacentral:rRNA from 1 species
GCCGGAGGGAAACCGAGUCUUAACCGGGCGUUAAGUUGCAGGGUAUAGACCCGAAACCCGGUGAUCUAGCCAUGGGCAGGUUGAAGGUUGGGUAACACUAACUGGAGGACCGAACCGACUAAUGUUGAAAAAUUAGCGGAUGACCUGUGGCUGGGGGUGAAAGGCCAAUCAAACCGGGAGAUAGCUGGUUCUCCCCGAAAGCUAUUUAGGUAGCGCCUCGUGAAUUCAUCUCCGGGGGUAGAGCACUGUUUCGGCUAGGGGGCCAUCCCGGCUUACCAACCCGAUGCAAACUGCGAAUACCGGAGAAUGUUAUCACGGGAGACACACGGCGGGUGCUAACGUCCGUCGUGAAGAGGGAAACAACCCAGACCGCCAGCUAAGGUCCCAAAGUCAUGGUUAAGUGGGAAACGAUGUGGGAAGGCCCAGACAGCCAGGAUGUUGGCUUAGAAGCAGCCAUCAUUUAAAGAAAGCGUAAUAGCUCACUGGUCGAGUCGGCCUGCGCGGAAGAUGUAACGGGGCUAAACCAUGCACCGAAGCUGCGGCAGCGA